rnacentral:lncRNA from 1 species
UAUGUGUUUUAAGAAUGAAGUUAGAUAAGCCUGAGUUCAAAGAGGAAGUAUGGAGGCCCUUAUUGUAAGUUUGCCAGUGAAAAGUGGACUGUUCCUGUUCAUAAGUAAGGGAAGGUAAGGAUUGGAGUGGGAAUGGGAAGUAGUCCAGAGCAAUAACUUUAUUUGCUUAAAGAGGAGAGAGAGGAAAGGGGCAACUACUUGCUAUGUGUUUGUAUACGUGACUUGGCGCCUACUUUGCGCCUGUUUCUACUUGACUUUCUUCUCUACCAUAUAGCAAGACCAUAUGGCAAGGGAUUCCAUUGAUGUUUUUGCAAGAGAAGCUGCUUGAUGGCAUUCCGAACUUCAAGUAGAGUAGAGGCCCAGGAAGAAUCAAGUCAAGAGGUAAGACAACUACAUAAAUGCAUUCUAAGGGCCAACACCUGACCAGACCAGACUUUACUUGAGAUCAGUUGUUUAUAGUAGCGAGUUUCAUUCUGUUACUACUGAGUUCAAUUCAUAGGUCUAACUGUAACUCAAUCGGGUUCAUUCUGUUACUACUGAGUUCAAUUCUGAGUCGUCUUAUAAGAGUUUCAUUCCUUUAAUUACUAUAUUUAUUCUUAUACAAGUGAGGUCAAUUCUUAACUGAACUUAUGAGCCAGAGGCAGUUGUUUCCUUCUUACUCUUAUUUGUUGGAGUUUCUCAUUCUUGCCCCAACUAGUAUACGAGUAGUGUUUGUGGUAGAGUUUCAUCGACCAGAGCAGAGCCAGUAGUUUAUGAGUUAACUCCCCAGUUCUUGUUAGAAAGUGAGAAUUAAAGUAGUCAGUAGAAGCCUUAAACUAGUUUGACCCUUCAACUAGUGGUAGUCUAGUCCCCCUUAUAGUAGUAGUCCAGUGUAAGGGAAGGGAGUGGAUUUAGGUCUACGAGAGAGGCUGCUGGGCGAGGAAAUGAUGUUGCUUGUCGGUUUGGCAAGUCAGAUAGAGUUCGUUCGGGUAGGCGAGAGAAGUCGGAAUUAGACUAGUUAGAAUUUGACUCAGGAGUGGGAAAGUCAGAGACAACCUCAUAAGUAGGAGACCCAUAAGUAGGAGACCAAAAGCUCAUAAGUCGGAAUUACAGAAUUGAGCUAAGCAGUCUAAGAAUGUCACUAGUAAGCCUUAAGUCAGUGAGUAAUCCCACCGAUUGCCCGCAUCUAGUAUAAGAGGGUCACUUCGCUCUCAACUCUCAAGUCUAGUAGUUCGGGUGUUGCAAUAUAAGAUCAGAGGCUAGAUCCG